rnacentral:rRNA from 1 species
GACGAACGCUGGCGGCGUGCCUAAUACAUGCAAGUAGAACGCACAGUUUAUACCGUAGCUUGCUACACCAUAGACUGUGAGUUGCGAACGGGUGAGUAACGCGUAGGUAACCUGCCUGGUAGCGGGGGAUAACUAUUGGAAACGAUAGCUAAUACCGCAUAAUAUUGAUUAUUGCAUGAUAAUUGAUUGAAAGAUGCUAUUGCAUCACUACCAGAUGGACCUGCGUUGUAUUAGCUAGUAGGUGAGGUAACGGCUCACCUAGGCGACGAUACAUAGCCGACCUGAGAGGGUGAUCGGCCACACUGGGACUGAGACACGGCCCAGACUCCUACGGGAGGCAGCAGUAGGGAAUCUUCGGCAAUGGACGAAAGUCUGACCGAGCAACGCCGCGUGAGUGAAGAAGGUUUUCGGAUCGUAAAGCUCUGUUGUAAGAGAAGAACGGGUGUGAGAGUAGAAAGUUCACACUGUGACGGUAUCUUACCAGAAAGGGACGGCUAACUACGUG